UUAGGGUUAAGAGGGCCGGUAAAAUUCGUGCCAGCCACCGCGGUUAUACGAAAGACCCUAGUUUAUAGGCACGGCGUAAAGGGUGGUUAUGGGACAGACAAAAUAAAGCUAAAGACCCCCAGAGCCGUCAUACGCCCACGGGGGCGCGAAACCCAAAUACGAAAGUAGCUUUACCAAACAAAUGCCCGACCCCACGAAAGCUGAGAAACAAACUGGGAUUAGAUACCCCACUAUGCCCAGCCCUAAACCUAGAUGAAAACUUACAAAACCAUCCGCCCGGGGACUACAAGCACAGCUUAAAACCCAAAGGACUUGGCGGUGCCUCAGAUCCACCUAGAGGAGCCUGUUCUAGAACCGAUAACCCCCGUUAAACCUCACCACCUCUUGUUUUCCCCGCCUAUAUACCGCCGUCGUCAGCUUACCCUGUGAAGGUCCAACAGUAAGCAAAAUGGGCCCAACCCAAAACGUCAGGUCGAGGUGUAGCGCACGAGGUGGGAAGAAAUGGGCUACAUUUUCUACCACAGAACACCACGGAUAGCUCCCUGAAACAUGACGCCUGAAGGAGGAUUUAGUAGUAAAAA
rnacentral:rRNA from 1 species